UCCUACGGGGGGCAGCAGUGGGGAAUUUUCCGCAAUGGGCGAAAGCCUGACGGAGUGACGCCGCGUGGGGGACGAAGGCCUUCGGGUCGUAAACCCCUGUCAGAGGGAAAGAAGGGUCGCCUGGCUAAUAUCCAGGUGAUUUGACGGUACCUUCAGAGGAAGCCCCGGCCAACUCUGUGCCAGCAGCCGCGGUAAGACAGAGGGGGCAAGCGUUGCUCGGAAUCACUGGGCGUAAAGGGCGCGUAGGCGGGAUGGCAAGUCGGUCGUGAAAUCCUUCGGCUCAACCGAAGAACGUCGGCCGAUACUGCCAUUCUUGAGGGAUGCAGAGGAGACUGGAAUUCCCGGUGUAGCGGUGAAAUGUGUAGAGAUCGGGAGGAACACCGGUGGCGAAGGCGGGUCUCUGGGCAUUUCCUGACGCUGAGGCGCGAAAGCGUGGGGAGCAAACGGGAUUAGAUACCCUAGUA
rnacentral:rRNA from 1 species